rnacentral:lncRNA from 1 species
UUUUAUUGGAAUAAUUAAGUAAUUAUAAUACAUAAGGUAUAUAUGUGUUGUAAUGUAAAAUGUAAUAUAGCAUGAGGUGUUAUUGAUAAGUUGAGCCAGUUAGUAUGGAAGCUUAUGAGAGAAGCUAAGAGCAAAGCUUAUGAGAGAAACUAAGAGCAAAGCUUAUGGGAGAAGCUAGAAGAAGCUUAGUGUAGAAGCUAGAAGAAGCUUAUGAGAGAAGUUAGAAGAAGGGACUAAGUUUACUUCAAGGUUAAGUUCACUUCAGAGCUAAGUUUACUUCGAGGCUAAGUUUACUUCGGGACUAAGUUUACUUUAAGGCUAAGUUUACUUUAGAGCUACGUUUACUUUGAGUCUAAGUUUACUUCGGGGCUAAGUCUUGGGUAGAUAUUUGUGGCUUAAAGUCCUUAAUAUCCUAACUUAGGAAAUCCUAUAAAUAGGCCCUUCCUCUUUCACUUAGAACUCACCAAUUCACCAAAAUUAAGAGGAGAAACUCUAGCAAAUUGGAGAGAAAAGAGGGAGAGUUGGCUGGAUCGAGAGGGAGAGGAAGAAGAUCAAGAUAAGGGGUGAUUAUGGCUAAGAAGAAGAACACUUUGGCAAGUUUUUCAGUUUACUUGUGUGAUCUUAGUAUUGGUUGUGUAAUUGUUAUGGUAACUUGUUGAUAUACAUGUGUUGCUAUACUAUGAUUGUGAAAAUCAAAUUAUGACUAACUGCUAAUUGAGUUAUGGGACUCAAUUUACAUGUGGUAAAUAACAUGUGCAAGAUGAUACGUUUAUAUGGUAUGAAGUAAAGAUACAAUAUGAAAUGUAUGUUGCUAAUAUUGCAUAAGUUUGAUGAUGCGUUUGUAAUAUGCAUAAAUAAUUAAAUAUAAUGCAUGAAUUGAAUAUGAAAUUUUGUGUUACGUUAUGCAUGAUAGACUGUUAGAUUUGCUGGGCCGUCGUUCUCAAUCUUGCAUUAAAUUGCAGGUUGAAUAUGCGAUAGAAUAUUCUUGCUACCAGAUGAUAAAGCUAGAGGAGCGUGUAGAGAAAACUAAUUAUGUAGUUGGAAUUGUAUUGUAUUGUGAUGACUGUACAAUGUGCAGUUAUGUAAACUUUGGAGUAUUCAAUGAAUAAAGAAUGUUUGUUCUGAGAUGAGAAUGUAUCGUAGUGAAGUUAUGUAAACUUUGGAGUAUUCAAUGAAUAAAGAAUGUUUGUUCUAAGAUGAGAAUGUAUCGUAGUGAUGACUUUGUAAUGUAAAGUACUAUAGUGAUAAUACUAUAUAAGAAAGAACUUGUUUGGAGAACCGAGUGGUAUAUACUCAUAUCUACCUUGAUAAAAUGAAUCAUAAAAUAAAUAUGAUUUCGAAAUAUGAAAAUCGUAAAGGUUGGGAUUCAGGGUAAUAGAAAGAAGCAAGAAAAGUUUUAAUUAUCCG